GACGAACGCUGGCGGCGUGCUUAACACAUGCAAGUCGAACGGUAAGGCCCUUCGGGGUACACGAGUGGCGAACGGGUGAGUAACACGUGGGUGAUCUGCCCUGCACUUCGGGAUAAGCCUGGGAAACUGGGUCUAAUACCGGAUAGGACCACUGCCUGCAUGGGUGGUGGGGGAAAGCUUUUGCGGUGUGGGAUGGGCCCGCGGCCGAUCAGCUUGUUGGUGGGGUGAUGGCCUACCAAGGCGACGACGGGCAGCCGGCCUGAGAGGGUGACCGGCCACACUGGGACUGAGACACGGCCCAGACUCCUACGGGAGGCAGCAGUGGGGAAUUUUGGACAAUGGGGGCAACCCUGAUCCAGCAAUGCCGCGUGAGUGAAGAAGGCCUUCGGGUUGUAAACCUCUUUCAGCACCGACGAAGCGCAAGUGACGGUAGGUGCAGAAGAAGGACCGGCCAACUACGUGCCAGCAGCCGCAGUAA
rnacentral:rRNA from 1 species